rnacentral:tRNA from 1 species
GCGGGCGUAGUUUAGUGGUAAAACGCUACCUUGCCAAGGUAGAGACCGGCGGUCCGACUCCGCUCGCCCGCU